AAUCCAUAGGUUAAUGAGGCGAACCGGGGGAACUGAAACAUCUAAGUACCCCGAGGAAAAGAAAUCAACCGAGAUUCCCCCAGUAGCGGCGAGCGAACGGGGAGGAGCCCAGAGCCUGAAUCAGCAUGUGUGUUAGUGGAAGCGUCUGGAAAGGCGCGCGAUACAGGGUGACAGCCCCGUACACAAAAGCGCAUGUGCUGUGAGCUCGAUGAGUAGGGCGGGACACGUGGUAUCCUGUCUGAAUAUGGGGGGACCAUCCUCCAAGGCUAAAUACUCCUGACUGACCGAUAGUGAACCAGUACCGUGAGGGAAAGGCGAAAAGAACCCCGGCGAGGGGAGUGAAAAAGAACCUGAAACCGUGUACGUACAAGCAGUGGGAGCCCCACCACUAAGCCAGUGGUGAACUCCACAUCCGCAUCCUUUGCUGAGGAUACGGUUAACGGAGCGAAAGCGACGUUCAACCGCAA
rnacentral:rRNA from 1 species